rnacentral:lncRNA from 1 species
GUCCAAGUGCACCAUCCUGGGAGAACCAUGGCAAAGAAAGGAGACAGAGACAGCCAGCAGGUGAGAUGCAAUCGCAUGAGAUCUGAGGGAAUGCUGGCAACACUGCAGAGAGUUACGGUAACGGAGGAGCUCCUACAAAGCUGAGAGAUGCUGCCGUGCUGUGCAGCCAGAACAGAACAUGGCAGAAUUCCAGGAGGACUCCGGGAAAUCCUCUCUGCUGAGGAGCAGUCUGAAAGCAUGGGCCAGCAUGGAGGGACCAACAGAUUCAAAGCUUUAUUAUUUUCUUUUUUAAUAAAGUUAACAGUAAAACAAAAUCCACAAGCCUUCCCUUCCCCGAGCUGGUUUCCUCUUCACACACAAACGCACACAAACUGAGGUCUCCAACCGAGAGAAAUGAAACUGCUCUAAGUACAAUGAGACAUGAUGGAGGAAGGAGUCUAAGUAUGUCCGUAUUCAAGGCUAAAAGCAGCAGAGCAGUGUGUGUGUGUUUUAGCCAAACUGGAAAAAGAAAUUUCCAGGCCCAGAAGCUUCAAAACUGAAGCCUCCCGGCCCACCAAAGAAGGCCUUAAAUAUAUUAUUUGCAUCGAAGUCUCCCAUGUUCAACCCAUCUUCUUCUAGAUCCUGUCCACUGUCAUAGCGGGCCUUCUUCUUGGGAUCUGACAAGAUGGUAAAGGCUUCACCGACCUCCUUAAACUUCUUCUCCUCUUCCUUCUGUACUUCUGCACUUGCCCCACUGUGUCGGUCUGGAUGAUGCAUGAGUGCUCUUUUCCUGUAGGCCUUCUUGAUCUCAUCUUCAGAGGCAUUUUUGUCGACCCCGAGGAUUUUGUAGUAGUCUUUCCGUUUGCUUUUUUUCAGUUCCAUCUGUGCAUUCUUUAGAAGCUGUUUGUGUUCUUUUGUUUUUUCUGUCUGGUAAACUUUUUCAUAGUCUCUUACAGCAUCUUCAUAUUGCUCUGUGUCCAUGUAACACUGUGCUCUCCUCAAGUAUGCUUUAAUAUACGUCUCAUCCAGUUUUACUGCAUUCGUGCAGUCAUCUAUUGCUUCUUCAAGUUUCCUAAGCUUUGAAUUAACCGUCCCCCGGUUGCAGUAGAGUUUGGCAUUUGUUUUUAUGUUAUUAGGAUCUAUUCCUAGUGCUUCUGUGUACAGUUCAUAAGCUAGUUUGUAGUUGCCUUCUUUAAAUGCUUUAUUCCCAUCUUCCUUCUUUGCUUUAAGUGCUUUGGCAUUACGGCAGGCUAAACAUGCUUUCUCAUGGUCAGGAGCCAUUCUGAGUGCUUGGACAAAGAACUGCACUGCCUUCUCAAUACAGUCCUCGUAAUAAAGGCAGAGACCACGGACAUACAGCGCGUCUGCGUUUGUUGAGUCCAUUCGUAAGAUGUCACUUGCUACAGACUGUGCUUCUGGGUAACGACCCAGUAACGCUAAACAUUCAGCCUUGAGGAUUUUGAAUCGGUGACAAGCAGGAGCAAACUCCAGAGCACGAUCCAUGCAAAAUACAACCUUCCUGAAAUCUCGCUUCUCAAAAUCCACUUCUGCUAUUUUUUCAUACUCCAGCACUGUACUGGCAUUCUUUAGCUCUUGCUGUGCCUGAGUGUUCUUAUGAUCCAGUUCUAAAACUCGUUGGAAGCAGCGGCUGGCAGCCAUGGCAUUCCCAAGGGAGAGAUGGCACUUCCCUUCCCGUAGAUGGCCCCUUACAAAGCUGUCAUCCAAUCUGACAGACUGCUGAGCAUCUCCCAGUGCUUCUCGGAAUCUCCCCAGCAUCAUGAGGGUGGCAGCUCUGUUACCAUAAUAACUGGCAUUGUUAGGACAGGUAUCUAUGGCUUUUGUGUAGUAGUUGUAUGCUUCGUUGUAAUCCUUCUUGGCAUAGUAUGCAUUUCCUUGUUCCUUGAAAGACUCUGCUUCUCUCCGCGCCUCCUCCUCGCUCUCGGGCUCGCCGGGUCCCUCGGGCGCCGCCAUGAUCACAUCGCACUCGGCUGCCGCCGCCAUCUUACCGCCAGGCCGGAUGGGGGCGGGGCG